rnacentral:tRNA from 1 species
GGGCCCGUAGCUCAGCUAGGAAGAGCGGCGGGCUUUUAACCCGUAGGUCCCGGGUCCGAAUCCCGGCGGGCCCGCCA